rnacentral:rRNA from 1 species
UACGUAGGGUGCAAGCGUUGUCCGGAAUUAUUGGGCGUAAAGAGCUCGUAGGUGGCCUGUCGCGUCGGCUGUGAAAACUCGGGGCUCAACUCCGAGCUUGCAGUCGAUACGGGCAGGCUAGAGUUCGGCAGGGGAGACUGGAAUUCCUGGUGUAGCGGUGAAAUGCGCAGAUAUCAGGAGGAACACCGAUGGCGAAGGCAGGUCACUGGGCCGCAACUGACGCUGAGGAGCGAAAGCGUGGGGAGCAAACAGG